UACGGAGGAUGCAAGCGUUAUCCGGAUUCAUUGGGUUUAAAGGGUGCGUAGGCGGGCUAUUAAGUCAGUGGUGAAAUCCUGCAGCUUAACUGCAGAACUGCCAUUGAUACUGAUAGUCUUGAGUUUGGUUAAGGUAGGCGGAAUGUGUAAUGUAGCGGUGAAAUGCUUAGAUAUUACACAGAACACCAAUUGCGUAGGCAGCUUACUGAGCCGACACUGACGCUGAGGCACGAAAGCGUGGGGAUCGAA
rnacentral:rRNA from 1 species